rnacentral:rRNA from 1 species
AGAGUUUGAUCCUGGCUCAGGAUUAACGCUAGCUACAGGCUUAACACAUGCAAGUCGAGGGGCAGCAUGGUCUUAGCUUGCUAAGGUUGAUGGCGACCGGCGCACGGGUGAGUAACACGUAUCCAACCUGCCGUCUACUCUUGGACAGCCUUCUGAAAGGAAGAUUAAUACAAGAUGGCAUCAUGAGUUCACAUGUUCACAUGAUUAAAGGUAUUCCGGUAGACGAUGGGGAUGCG